AUAACCAAUGAGGAUAUGGCACGUAGGUACCUGCUUCUAUAAACCAAUGAGGAGAUGGGAGAGGCAGGACUUGCAAUGCGAUCUGCAUUCUAUUUUAGCCCUCGGCAAAGCAGACGCACGUUGGCGCGCGCGAGCAGUGGCACCUGAGUGUUCCUGAGUGUUCCAGGCCAAAAAGCACAACAAAAAAAUAAAGCACACACCUCUGGAUAAUGAGAAAGCCCUGGCCUAUAUGUCCUGAGCUGCCGGCCCUAGCGUGAUGUCAAGCUAAAUCUGGGAGAACAACCUGCCCAGUUUCCUUGGCAACAGAGAAGAAAUACAGUGCCUUCAGAAAGUAUUCAAACCCAUUGACUGUUUCCACAUAUUGUUGUGUCACUGACCUACACACAAUACCCCAUAAUCUCAAAGUGGAAAUAUGCUUUGGUAAAUGUUUACAAAUUAAUUCAAAUGAAAAGCUGAAAUGUUGUUAUGGCAAGCCUAAAAUAAAGUACGUCGAGGGGUAAAAA